UACGUAGGGUGCGAGCGUUGUCCGGAAUUAUUGGGCGUAAAGGGCUCGUAGGCGGUUUGUCGCGUCGGGAGUGAAAACACCGGGCUUAACUCGGUGCUUGCUUUCGAUACGGGCAGACUAGAGGCAUGCAGGGAGAACGGAAUUCCUGGUGUAGCGGUGAAAUGCGCAGAUAUCAGGAGGAACACCGGUGGCGAAGGCGGUUCUCUGGGCAUGUCCUGACGCUGAGGAGCGAAAGUGUGGGGAGCGAACAGG
rnacentral:rRNA from 1 species